rnacentral:rRNA from 1 species
GAUGAACGCUGGCGGCGUGCCUAAUACAUGCAAGUCGAGCGAACAGACGAGGAGCUUGCUCCUCUGACGUUAGCGGCGGACGGGUGAGUAACACGUGGAUAACCUACCUAUAAGACUGGGAUAACUUCGGGAAACCGGAGCUAAUACCGGAUAAUAUAUUGAACCGCAUGGUUCAAUAGUGAAAGACGGUUUUGCUGUCACUUAUAGAUGGAUCCGCGCCGCAUUAGCUAGUUGGUAAGGUAACGGCUUACCAAGGCAACGAUGCGUAGCCGGCCUGAGAGGGUGGUCGGCCACACAGGAACUGAGACACGGUCCAGACUCCUACGGGAGGCAGCAGUAGGGAAUCUUCCGCAAUGGGCGAAAGCCUGACGGAGCAACGCCGCGUGAGUGAUGAAGGUCUUCGGAUCGUAAAACUCUGUUAUUAGGGAAGAACAAAUGUGUAAGUAACUAUGCACGUCUUGACGGUACCUAAUCAGAAAGCCACGGCUAACUACGUG